UUCAUGGACCACAGAAUGUUAAUUUUAGAUGGAAUUUUAUUAUAGAUUCAUAGAAGUUUCUGUUUAUUUUGUUUUUGUGUGUUUUCAAUUUAUCAUUAUGAAUCUAUUAUAGAUUCAUAGAACUUCAAAGAAGGAGGGAUUGAGGGAGAAAGGUAUUGAUGGAGGACAGAGGAAGAAAAGAGAAAGAGAAAGAGAGAGACAGACAGAGAGACAGAGAAACAAAGACAAGAGAAUGACAAAUGGAGAGAUCUGUAUAGCAGGAGGGGCAUCCAGAAAAUAGGGUCCUAUCAUGUUCCAAGUCUCAGGGCUUUGUUAAAACAUUGAUGACAGACACUAGGAUGUGCUAUGGGAGGAGAUAAGCUGGACAGGCAAGCUGGUGUUCACAAGAGCUUCUUCUCAGUUUUAUCCACACAUCUCACACAGGUUUUUGGCACAAGUGCUCAUUCAGGAGAUAACAGAGAACCAGGAACCACGGCUUUCUUCUGGCAUUCCUGGUCCCCAGAAAGGACAUCCUCAGAACAGUAGCUUUGGGGUUCCUGCCAUACCAGGUUUCUGCCCUGUUUGAGUUCCUGUCCUGAAUUCCUUCAGUGAUGGACUGUGGAUAUGGAAGGCCACAGAGUCAGGUUGUCCUGAAUGACAUGUUCUACUGGAGAAGACACAAGGCGGAAGAAUGUCACAAACCAGUAUGUUUAUCAAAUACACAGGCUGCUGGUAACUGCGUAAGGAUUGAUGUGAGUUCCCAGGAAGAUGAGAGCAAUGCAAAUGAUUUCUGUCCAUAGAGAUGCAAAUUGAAGCUGACAAAAUGCACCUAAGAAUAUUGUCUGACUCUUUCCAUUGUGCAUUCUUUUGUAAAUACA